UGGGUGAAGCUCUAGUAACUUCUAUGUCCUGCGCCUUUAAGGCUUGACAAUCUUUUGAGUAACUGAACUAUGGGGACAUUCGAAUUAGCAAGCUUCUCCCA